AUGUCAAGAGAUCUAGAGAGAGAGGAACUAAAGGCAAACCAUGAACCACGUCCAGCUCCUUGCUCUUGCUAUGAUUCGCGUUCAACCCACUCCCUGCGUGCACCAAUGACCUCAUCCAUGAGACAAGGGGGGAAAGAGAGGGGGAGGAAGAUAGAGACAAACCUGAACCGCCUCAACCUUCUUGCUCCUACUGCUCCGACCAGUAAGUCUCCCUCCACGGCCGACCCCGCCCACAUUCGCCACUGCACCAACUCCGCUACUUUCCCCAUCAAGGCAGAGCUCCCGUGCAUGUCUUGUUCGGAGGGGCUCUCCGAGGCCUCGAGGUCCUCAUCAAGAUCUCGUCCUCCGAGUACUUCACCCCAUACUUUUCGCCUACUGUUCUGUACACCUGAAUUAACAUUUAGAACACAAGCCAUAUUAAUCAAACCACCAUAUGCAUACCCAAUUAACAGAGGAAAGGGAGAUUUUUAUCAGUAA
rnacentral:rRNA from 1 species